AAGCGCGUGUAGGCGGGCCGUCACGUCGUUCGCUGAAAUCCCCCGGCUCAACCGGGGAACGGGCGGCGAUACGAGCGGCCUGGAGGGGGGUAGGGGGGCCUGGAACUUCCGGUGGAGCGGUGAAAUGCGUUGAGAUCGGAAGGAACGCCCGUGGCGAAAGCGAGGCCCUGGACCCUUACUGACGCUGAGACGCGAAAGCCAGGGGAGCGAACGGGAUUAGAUACCCUAGU
rnacentral:rRNA from 1 species